UAGUAGCAUUAGGGAUAGUAGCGGCAUCCUUUUAUUCUGUAUUUUUUAAAAAAAUUACAAAAUAAAAGAUAUAGCGAAUAGCCCGACCCGAC
rnacentral:sRNA from 2 species